rnacentral:sRNA from 1 species
CCGCCCAAUGCGCCGCCUACACCGGCUUCGGUGGUACUGCCGGCCAUGGCUGCGCCACUGACCAGGCCCAGGGACAACAAGAGAAUCGAGGAGAACUUCAUUCGGGAAACCUCAAGGGGAUGACGGCGCGAUGCUGAAGCUGUAUUGACAUGCUGACAACAGAAAUCCGACCAAUAGCACGAGUUGUACACAAUUCGCUAAGUUACUGUUUUAACUAGGGAACUUAAGCGUUUUUUGCGAGUCAUUAGCUACUUGAGAACGGCCGCUUUUAUGCAAAAGCGGCCUUUUUUGUGUCCGAAAUGAUCGUGUCCACGCUCCGCGUCACAGCCUCAAAACAGCGGACGCAGAGCCUCCGGUGCAGCAUUCCCACGUCGCGCGUGGGAACGAUCAUCGCCUCAGGCCGAGCGCGCCAUGAUCAGCCCGUUGUCACUGGCGGCUUCCAGGCGGAUAGCGACAAA